UGACACAUAGAAAGUCCUAAAUACAUAAUUUUGAGUGAAUGAAUCCAUUAUUUCUUGUGUGCUUAUCUCAUAUUAGGCAUUUGUGCAUGUAUCUAUAAAGCAACUUUGAAAGACAGUACAAUAUAGAAGUUAAGACCAUUCUUUAUCUUUAGUAUUAGAAAUAUUUGUGUUCAAAGCCUUGCUAUGAAUUUGGACUGUGUUUCUAGAAGAAGAAGCUGUGAAGAGGCUUCCUGUGCAGGUGAUGAAACUAGUCUCAGGAGAAACUUGUAAGAAAGUGAGGGCGGCAGGAUAAAGCAGAGUAAGUAGCUAGACAAAGAUGUGGUGGUUUCUGCAGUCUCAGUCUGGCUUCAGUACAAUCCUGUCGAGAGCGCCAGAGCUGCACCAGGGUCAGUAUUGCCUUGAAAAAAGGGGGCUGGCUUUUGUACUCACAUCAGUCAGCUAUUGGCUGCAGGUGGCCCUAGGCAGGAGCAUCAUAGGCUCUGAAGCAUCUCCAGGCGCGGGGGAUCCCGUUGACUUCAAGAGGAAUGGAGCAAUAAGUGCACUUUCCUCAUGGGACAUUUGAAGAGGAGUGGAACCAGCAGAAAAAAAGAAAAAAACCAGAACCAAAAAGCCUUUUGGGAUUUUCUCUCAAAGCCUAAACCUUUUAUUAGUGAAAAGAGAUUUAAGACCAGAGACAAUGACUUGAAGAAAUGGGGAGGCCAAAGACAAUGACCUGAAAAAAUGAAAAGAUGUCAUUUGUUUCAUUCGAUUUAGGGUUUGGUACCCUGGAGAAGGAAAGAGAAUAUGAACAGCAAGGUAG